GGUGGGUUGGCUCAGUGGUCAGUGCUUAGGUCUCGUAACCGAAAGGUCGCGCGAUCGAAUCCCGGAGAGGCUG
rnacentral:tRNA from 1 species